UCCUGACUCACACUGAUUUCAGAAACUUUCUAUCCCCAGGCCCUCACCUGCUGCUCAGCCCCAGGACUCGGCAAGCAGAAAUUAGGCUUCGGUUGAAAUAUCUGGUCUUAAAUACUUGUUGCCACUUCUGCUGCUGUGCAGCUUUGUUCUCUCUUGGGCAAGUUCAUCUGGUUCAUUCCUAGGAUCUGCCGUCCUUGAGAACGAGAAGUUUUGGAAUCAAAACCCACUGGUGGGCUGGGAUUUCUUGAGUGGUAAGGAACAGAAAUUCAGACUUGAGGGAGCAUUUGACAGAAUCCAGGUCACCCUGCCUGGAAGAGAAAGUACCUACUAGGACCUGCCUUCCACCCCAAGGUAAAUCAAGAAUCACGUGGUACAGGCUCAUGGAAGAACUGGACAGUUUCUGUUUGAUCAGUGGAAGGCAGAGAAAGAAGAGCUGGGCUAGGGAGCCCUGAGGAACUGUGAGUACCAGGAGCUGAAAGUUUGCAGACUUGAUGUCCAUGGAUUGCAGAUGGCAACUGACUUUGUUUGCUUCAGUGAGACCUUUCCAGUGACCACAACCCCAUGUUAUUUCUCUGAUACAAGGUCCCAGUGACAGCAGCAAGAGACUGGUGCCAACGAACAGCACCUCUCUCUCUCUCUCUCUCUCUCUCUCUCUCUCCCUCCCUCUCUCUCUCUCUCCCUCUCUCUCUCUCUCUCUGCCUAUCAAGAGGAAGGUCGUGGAGAGACAGGCUUUUAGUGCCCAUGACGACAGAUAACAGGCACAGCCUCUUGGGUCCCGGACUGGAUGCAAAGUCACUUCAUGAUCAAGCUCACCAUGACGAUGAGUCUGUGUUUGACCAGACUUGUUAUCCUGACAGCUUUGGCUUUGUCCUCAUGAGAACUCAGCCAAGCCAUGAGUGGUGACCACAGAUAGACUUAAGAGCCCAGUCAUGGACUCUUUUCCCUCCCUAUUACCUAAUUUCCAACUCCCCUCUGGCAUCCUUUUGACAUUUUUCUGGUUUGGACCCAAUCCGUGGGCUUCACCCAUCAGAUUCUAAAUCAGCUGUGGCUAGUGCCACAAUAAGAAAUGACCAACCACGUGACCUUCACCCCAGAGUGUCGGCCAUGGUCUUCAUCACCCCAAUAUCUGCUUCACACCACAGGGAAACUCCUCCACAUAUGAUCCCUUCACACGAGGUCUUGAGAACAGUCACUGCAGGACCCCUGAGAAGGAACUGAAGGAGUCCAGGUCUUCCACCAGGACCAGUGCCACAGACAGGCAGUGGGAGGAGGAUGCUCUCACAGCUGAGGCUUGGUGACCCUUGUUUGGACUUUAUGACGAAUCUAUCAUGUUUUCAGAGAUUGUCGCAAGCACUCAUCUCCACCUUGGCCAGAACAUUUGUCACAGAGGUUUCUGAGGAAAGGUAAAGAAUUGUUUCCCUGGUAAAAUUGCCAAACCCAGAACAGUAUGUGGAGAAAACCCAGAGGACCAGGAAAAAUGUGCAUGCUAUCCAGGAGGUGGGAGCCGAUCCCAAAUCAUCCUGGAAGCCUACGGACUUCUGUCAUCAGCAAUAUGUUCUCUCGGGCAAAUGAGAGAAAUUCGCAAGACUCUUUGUUCAACUUAACACAAUUUGUAUCUAAGUUUGCUGGAGCCUUUCCGUAGUUCCCUACCUAGUUUACUUCAUAAAGUGAAAUCCUACCCAACAAAGAGGCAGGCUUACAGAAACAAAGAGAUAAGACUGUUUGGUCAGAGAGAUAAAAUCUGAAACCGGGCUCCACUCCACUGCAGUCCUUAGUAAUGUUAAAAA